UGUAGUGCCACUGGUGACGCUGUAAUUUGGCCUUCAGCUGUUUCAACGCGGCCACCGGAAAUUGGACGAUCUUGUUAGGAAAGUAAUAUAAAACACCUGAUGCUGUUCUUAUGAAUCUGAGUGACCCUUCGCGCUUUAAUCGUGUUGUACUUCCGUCGGUGUGAAUCCGUGUGUAUUUCUGAUCGUUUGGUAAAUCCCUGUCACCACAAACGGUGCCGUUCAUGACGACGAGGCAUUUUAUUUUGAAGGAUUUGGUUUGCCCGGAGACAACAGCUGUGAUUUAUGACGACUUGACACUAAAAAUAGCAGCGUCCGACUUUGUUCCCUGACAAGAACAGUUCCUGCUUCUCUUACCAAACAAGACAAAUCAUCACCUCAUCAACAGCAGGACGGAUGUUCUUCAUCAUCGUCACCAUCACCCUCUCAUUAACGCCUGACACCUGGAGUGCAGUGGGUCCAGUACGCAGCGGAUGCAGCCAGUGUCCGGCUGCAGGCGACCCUCUCGAUGGUCUCUCCCACCAUGAAAGCGGUGGUGGAUGUCGUAUGGGCGGUGUGGAGCAUCGGGGCCUCCAUCUAUGACUACAUCCACACCAACGCCAUGGAAGAGCGCAUCCACGCCCUGGAGCACGUCAUCACCAUCCACCAGUGUGUGAUCGGACUGCUGUCUGCUGGAGUUCUGGUACUCUUCACUUACAUCGUCUUCAAAAAGCUCUGAGCUGGUGUGAAAUGGUGGUGGGAUUGUUAUUGGACGUGGUGAAGCAAUCACUGAGCAGACUUUUAAAGGGGGACAUUUAGACUUUGGGUUCAAAUGACUGGCUCAUAAGACUGUUUGUAGUUUCUGAAAGAGAUUACACUGAACCUAACAUACACUGGAGGACAUGUCUUUAAACAGUUAAACACUUUUAAAAUCUUUACAGUGUCACCCUUUUCAUAAACCGUUCAUGCUCUCUAUGUAGUGAUUGUGGAGAAGGGGACCAUGUGGAAUUUUUAAAGGCCAGCUUUUGUAACUGGCAGUCGCUAUCUUUCAAUUUUUCCUUUUUAAAUUUAAAUGUAACAUUUAAUUUUAACAUCUUAAGCACUAAAAUGAAUAAUUAUCCCUCUAUUCAUUUGAAUUCCUACUUCCAUUUACCUGACUAAGCAGUUUAUUGCAGGUUUUGUAAGGUGAAGAUUCCUCAAGUUUGUUAUCUCAUAAUGAAAAAGCAAAUCAGUAAAUUAGGACAGUCCUACACAAUGUUUUCAGUGUGUGUCCAUAGCCUGGACAGCAGAAUUUAGUCAUUUCAUAAAGGGAUUAGUAUUGGAAAUAAUAAUUUGCCACCACAACUUCUGCCUUAAUGCAGUCUGUUUUCACACCCGUCAAAUUAGUGAUGAUGUGUAUGGAGUGUAACAUUUAGUGUAUUUCUCUAAGUAGUCAUAUGGAUCCCUAAUGAAUGUUCCUUUCAAUAAAACAUUUAAAGUCG